UGGGGAAUUUUGGACAAUGGGCGAAAGCCUGAUCCAGCAAUGCCGCGUGUGUGAAGAAGGCCUUCGGGUUGUAAAGCACUUUUGUCCGGAAAGAGAUCCUUGGCUCUAAUACAGCCGGGGGAUGACGGUACCGGAAGAAUAAGCACCGGCUAACUACGUGCCAGCAGCCGCGGUAAUACGUAGGGUGCAAGCGUUAAUCGGAAUUACUGGGCGUAAAGCGUGCGCAGGCGGUUUGCUAAGACCGAUGUGAAAUCCCCGGGCUCAACCUGGGAACUGCAUUGGUGACUGGCAGGCUAGAGUAUGGCAGAGGGGGGUAGAAUUCCACGUGUAGCAGUGAAAUGCGUAGAGAUGUGGAGGAAUACCGAUGGCGAAGGCAGCCCCCUGGGCCAAUACUGACGCUCAUGCACGAAAGCGUGGGGAGCAAACAGGAUUAGAUACCCUGGUAGUCCACGCCCUGAACGAUGUCAACUAGUUGUUGGGGAUUCAUUUCCUUAGUAACGUAGCUAACGCGUGAAGUUGACCGCCUGGGGAGUACGGUCGCAAGAUUAAAACUCAAAGGAAUUGACGGGGUCAUAGCUGUUUCC
rnacentral:rRNA from 1 species